GCUGAAGCUAGCGAACAAUAACUAGCGAACAAUAAGCCAGCGAACAAUAAGGCGAUAUAUCUAAAAACCGAAAAAAUGAAUAAGACAGCAACGGCCGUUAAAUGAAAAAUAUUUAAACAGGCAGAAAUUCCGUCCAAAUAUUGCAAUUUCAACUCAAACAUGAAAUGGUAUUUAUCCCAUCCAUUGAUAAAACAAGCCACAUCUCUUUUUAGGCUAAUAUUCAGUACCACAGUAAAUCUGCAUCUGUCAACGGAUUAUUUGUAGGUGUAAAACCACCAAUGCACCCACUUCCAUUUAGAACGUAUGUAAAAGUAGUCCUUCCCUGUAAAAUACAGCACCUUUGAUGUCAUUGUUUAAUUGAACUAAGAUACACAUUUGCAGAAAUGGGGGUUGGCCUAUUCCAUGGCUUCUUGAGAAAAAUAAUGAGGGGUGUCACGGAUUAUGACUAUAUAGGUCUUGUAGAGGACAAACAGGCGCAUCUUUUGCGCAAGGUAUCGAAGGGCGCUAUGUUCAAAAAUCUGAAACUAGAGCUCAAAAUUUGAAAGAAAAUGUUAAAAACAGGGGGGUUGGCCUAUUCCAUGGCUUCUAGAGAAAAAUAAUGAGGAGUAUCACUGGGUAUGACUAUAUAGGUCUUCUAGAGGAGAAACAGACGCAUCUUUUGCGCAAGGUAUCGAAGGGCGCUAUGUUCAAAAAUCUGAAACUAGAGCUCAAAAUUUGAAAAAAAAUUGUUAAAAACAGGGGGUUGGCCUAUUCCUUGGCUUCUAGAGAAAAAUAAUGAGGAGUGUCACGGGGUAUGAUUAUAUAGGUCUUGUAGAGGAGAAACAGGCGCAUCUUUUGCGCAAGGUAUCGAAGGGCGCUAUGUUCAAAAAUCUGAAACUAGAGCUCAAAAUUUGAAAAAAAAGUGUUAAAAACAGGGGGGUUGGCCUAUUCCAUGGCUUCUACAGAAAAAUAAUGAGGAGUGUCACGGGGUAUGACUAUAUAGGUCUUCUAGAGGAGAAACAGGCGCAUCUUUUGCGCAAGGUAUCGAAGGGCGCUAUGUUCAAAAAUCUGAAACUAGAGCUCAAAAUUUGAAAAAAAAAUUGUUAAAAACAGGGGGUUGGCCUAUUCCAUGGCUUCUAGAGAAAAAUAAUGAGGAGUGUCACGGGGUAUGACUAUAUAGGUCUUGUAGAGGAGAAACAGGCGCAUCUUUUGCGCAAGGUAUCAAAGGGCGCUAUGUUCAAAAAUCUGAAACUAGAGCUCAAAAUUUGAAAAAGAUUUGUUAAAAACAGGGGGAAUGGCCUAUUCCAUGGUUUCUAGAGAAAAAAAAUGAGGGGUGUCACGGGGUAUGACUAUAUAGGUCUUGUAGAGGAGAAACAGGCGCAUCUUUUGCGCAAGGUAUCGAAGGGCGCUAUGUUCAAAAAUCUGAAACUAGAGCUCAAAAUUUGAAAGAAAAUGUUAAAAACAGGGGGGUUGGCCUAUUCCAUGGCUUCUAGAGAAAAAUAAUGAGGGGUGUCACGGGGGAUGACAAUAAAGGUCUUGU